GUCUACGGCCAUACCACCCUGAACGCGCCCGAUCUCGUCUGAUCUCGGAAGCUAAGCAGGGUCGGGCCUGGUUAGUACUUGGAUGGGAGAAAACUGGAAUAUAUGAUUCACUCUAGUUA
rnacentral:rRNA from 1 species